rnacentral:rRNA from 1 species
UACGUAGGGUGCAAGCGUUUAAUCGGAAUUACUGGGCGUAAAGCGUGCGCAGGCGGUUUUGUAAGUCUGUCGUGAAAUCCCCGGGCUCAACCUGGGAAUUGCGAUGGAGACUGCAAGGCUAGAAUCUGGCAGAGGGGGGUAGAAUUCCACGUGUAGCAGUGAAAUGCGUAGAGAUGUGGAGGAACACCGAUGGCGAAGGCAGCCCCUGGUCAAGAUUGACGCU